CAGUAGCCGCGGUAAGACGGAUGGUGCUAGCGUUGUUCGGAAUCACUGGGCGUAAAGGGCGCGUAGGCGGCCUGUUAAGUCGGAUGUGAAAGCCCGGGGCUCAACCCCGGAACUGCAUCCGAGACUGGCAGGCUUGAGACCGGGAGAGGAGGGUGGAAUAUCCAGUGUAGAGGUGAAAUUCGUAGAUAUUGGAUGGAACACCGGUGGCGAAAGCGGCUCUCUGGCCCGGAUCUGACGCUGAGGCGCGAAAGCGUGGGGAGCAAACAGGAUUAGAUACCCCAGUAGUCCCUGUCUCUUAUAA
rnacentral:rRNA from 1 species